rnacentral:lncRNA from 1 species
UUCAUUAUUCAAAAUUAAUUGGAGGUUAGUUUGUUUUCAGUUGAUGAUUUCAUUUAUUAGUUUAGAAAUUAAAGAAAUCAUUUUUCAAUUUUAUGUUCUUUAAUCAUUAUAACAACAUUAAUGAAGUCAGGGACAUCUUUAGUUUGGGGCUUACUCAAUUUCAUUCAACUUCUACUGAAAUUGAUAUAUCUGGGUUUGUUCCUGGUAAUUUCGAUUAUGAAGGUAGUGAUUUUCGUAAAAAUAGAUCUAAGCAUCGGAACGAUCCUACAGUCAUGAAGAAGUUACGGGAUGCUGAUAGUGCUAAAGAAAAAAAGACUGUUGCUACUAUUUGAAAGAGUAUAAAAAAGAAAGUUGUGAAAAGAGAUCCAUUACCAAAGAUAUGUUAUUUAUGUAUUUGACAGAUGAAUUUCUUCAACACAAAUUUUUUUUUAUGUAUCAUAACAUAAAAUGUAACAAAUGUUAAUGUUAAUCAUUAAUCUAAUACAUAAUCAUGAAGAUACCGUCAAAGCAUGCGUUAUGAUAGAUCACAAAUUUUCUUAGUAUGAUACAUAUGUAUGAAAUAUAUCAUGAUGUCUGAUAUAUACAGUAUAUUUAUGUAUCAUGAUACAAAAUGUAACAAAUGCUAAAGCUAUUAAUUAAUCUGAUACAUAAUUAUGAACAUAAGCUCAGUGCAUGCGUUAUGA